GACUGGAUUGCCUAGUGGUCAAAGGCAGCACUUCUAGCAAUGAUGAGGUCACAGGUUUGAAUCCUGGUCUAGUCA
rnacentral:tRNA from 1 species